rnacentral:tRNA from 1 species
CCAAAAUAUAGCUUAAACAAAGCAUCUAGUUUACACCUAGAAGAUUUCAUAAUAGUGAAUGUUUUGA